AAUCUGAGACAGAAAUCGAAACAAAAUUAAGAUUAGAAGAAAAUACUGGGCCGGAAAAAACAACGCCAAUGAAGUUUAGAAGAAAUAGGAAAGAAGAGAAGCAAGGAUCAACUACAGAAGCUACAUGCGUCAGCGGGACCAUGGCUUGCUCCGCCUCCUCCUUGGUAGCGCCUGCACGUAGGAUUUCAAUCUUAACUUCCUGCAGUGAUAGCAGGUUCCCUAGGCCAAAAUCGAGACCACCAUCGCUGCUGGCCAUUCCUCUUGCCUCCCGCACAUAAAACAACGGCCAGAGCCGAAGCUCUCUGAGCCUUGGCAUAGCUUCUUGUUAAAUCGCGAGAACCAACAGCUUACGAGGCACGGGAAGGAACCAGCACCAACAACGAAUCCCUGAAGGAUGCCCAGGUUCUUAUUGUCCACCUCCAGAUUUACAUAGUGGAGAGCUGGCAACCUCCCGAGGAUUUCGAGGUCGCCCUGAUGCAGCUCCCUCACGGCGAUGGUUAGACAGGUGAGAUCCGGAACAAGCGAUGGAUUCACCCAAGCUGGCAGUGUUGAAAACCAACAACUGUAUUGUGUAACCAAGUCACGGAGACGUCGAGGGGCAACCCAGGUAUCCAAUCCACCUAUGCUGCGGUGAGGAUGACGGAGCAUGAUCGAUACACAGUUCCUGAAUCUUUUGUAGCUUGUGCAGGCACUCUAACAGCUUGUCAUUCCACUCCUCCAAUUUAAUCCACAGCCGCCUCAGUUCAUUUAGCUCGCCCAACUCUUCUAUAAUGUUUAUGGCGGAGUCAUCAAUGUAUAACUGUGACAGCAGCUCAAGGCAUGUUAGUUUUCUUCACUUGACAAGGAACGGAUAAGAUCCAGCACCAUAUCAUGUAUGCGACAGCCAUUUACCAUGCCAGUUGAUGAGUUAUGUAUCGGUUGGAUCAUACUUCUGAUUAUGAGCUCGUUGAAGUAAAACUCUCCGAGUUCAAAUAGGCAAAAUAUAAUAGAAGUCCAAUCAGAAUCUUUGCCAAAACAUAAUAGAAGUCCAAUCAGGAAUAAAGACCAUAUAUUUUGCUAUAUUAUUUUUGCACUCCAUAAUGAUGUAAAAAAAGACAAAGCGAUUGUAUUUUAUUAUUGGCUAAAAAGUCUUUAUGAGAGCUAAACACACCAGGUAAUUGGAUAGAUUAUGAAAACCUUAGCACCCAGAUUAUUGUAAUCCCACUCUCUCUCUCCAUCCUACUUUUGAGGAUAUAAACACAACUAAAAAAAAGAUGAUUAGAAGGAAAUAAAGUGGGGAGGAUGUGUUAGAAUAACGGAGAAAGAACAACCGGAGCUAAGGUGGCAUAGGAUGGGAAAAAACCAACGCAAUUAAGUUUAGAAGAAAUGGGAAACGACACUCCGCUCCACCGUCUCCAUCAUGGAGCAGCUCCACCAUAUAUUUAUAUCAUGGUUGGGAUGAUUGGGAUGCAUUCUAGCUGCCAGCGUCAGCGCAGCCUUGGCUUUCUCCGCCGCCUCCUUGCUAGCGCCUUCACAUCGGAGCUGAGCCACGACCAUCUGCAGCGAUGGCAGGUUCCCCAGGCCCAAGUCGAGGCCACCAUCGCUGCUGGCAAUUCCUCCUCCCUCCCGCACGUAAAACAACGACAAGAGGUCAAGCUCUCUAAGCCUUGGCAUAGCUCCUUGUUGAAAUACCACUGGCCAUACAAAUUGAGAGAAGGAACAGAGUACAAGGCACGGGAACGAACCAGCACCAACAACGAAUCCCUGAAGGAUUCCCAGGUUCUUGUUGUCCACCACCAGACUUAGUGUGCGGAGAGCUGGCAACCUCCCGAGGAUUUCGAGGUCGCCCUGAUGCAGCUCCCUCACAGCGAUAUAUAGGCAGGUGAGAUCCGGAACAAGUGAUGGAUUCACCCAAGCCGGCAGUGUAGAAAACCAACAGCUGUUUACUGUACUCAAAUCACGAAUAUGUCGAGGGGCGGUCCAGGCAUCCAAUCCACCGAUGCUGCGUUGACCAGGGUGGACCGAGAUAUCUAGUUUCUGGAUCUUUUGUAGCAUGCGUAGGCCCUCCAACAGCUUGUCGUUCCACUCGUCCAAUUCAAUCUCCAGCCGCCUUAGGGCAGCUAGCUGGCCCAACUCUUCUACAAUAUUUAUGGUGGAGCCAUCAAUGCAUAACAACGACAGCUGUUCAAGGCAUGUUAGGUUUCCAAUUCCAUUCGGCACUUUUGUAUACCCGUCGAUGUAUAGGAACAUCAAAUUAGUUAGCUGAACAACACCCGAAGGCAACCAUGAAAUAGAAUUGCCCCUUACGUGCAAUGUUUGUAGAAACUGCAGGUUCCCUAUUUCUUCCGGGAGCUGAGAAAUAUCCAUACAAAAUAGUCUCAAGUACCUCAACUGAUAUAAAUUUCCAAGGUACUUAAGACUAUUAGCUUGUGAAAGAUCACAUAGACAUAAAUCCAGUACACGUAAAACCUGAAAACUCCCAAGAGCCGGCGCUUGAGCAAAUUCAGAUGGGAAGAUAACAACUGACCUUGCAUGUUGCAGCGAGCUCCUAGUAGCAUGAGCCAUUAUGUGACUGUUCUUGACAUUUUGAAGGGACAACCUCCGAAUCGUAUCUGAUGGAGAUGUGCUAUCCAUAUCACUUAGUACAGUAACAAAGUUUUCUUCAGUUGACAAGGAACGGAUAAGAUCGAGCACCAUAUCAUGUACGUGACAACUAUUUACCAUGCCACUGUAUCUGUCAUAUAUUGCUUGGACCAUACUUCUAUUUAUGAGCACAUUGAAAUAACUAUCUCCGAUUUCAAAUAGACUCUUCCCCUGUUUUUCACUUUUGAUAAAACCUUCAGCUAUCCACAUACUUAUCAAACGAUCCUUAUCAAUUUCAAAAUCUUCUGGAAACAUGCUUAAAUAUAAUAAGCAAGUCCUUAGAUGGCAUGGCAGCUCAUAAUAGCUAAAUGAUAAAAUCUUUCUCAUAUUCUUCACAUCUAGAUUGUUUUCCAGACCAGUACCAAUGGAAUUGUGCACCUCAUACCAAUCCAAUUUAUUUCUUGCUUUACAAGAUAGCAGACUAGCCAUCGUAAUAAUUGCUAAGGGUACACCAGCACAUUUGUUUAAUAUUUUGUCAGAUACUUCAACCAACUCCUCUUCAGGACAUUUUUCUCUGUCUUCAUUAUUAUCUUUGUUCUUACUACCAAAUAUUCUUCUAUACAGUAAUUUCCGGGAGUUAUUCAAAGAAAGGGGUUUCAGCUUGUAAGCACCACCAGCUUGUUCAGCAACGUCAUAAUUACGGGUUGUUGUAAUAAUAGUGUAUCCAACAUCAUUAUCAGGCAAAGCACAUCUGAUCAUUUUCCAGACUGAGAUAUCCCAUAUGUCGUCAAUAACAAUGAAAUACCUAUACAUAUGCCAAGUUAGUAGCAAGAACAAAUGGUUUUAAGAUGGAAAAGUUAUCAUAAUGUAUAUCAUACCACGGUAUGCAAAUUGAGCUAACUGGACAACAACUAACGUUUUAGUGUCUAGAGUAAAAUAGCUAGGGAGCAGCUAGAUUAGCAUGUAUGUAGACAAAAUAAGUCCACUCAGGAUCAUUGAAAAAAUAAAAAGGAACUCAAAUCAGAAACAAUGAUUGUAGAUUUUGCUUAUUUACACUUGAAAAUAUGCGAAAAAUAUUAAGUGGUUUCUAUUUUGCUAUUUAACGAGGGCCAUGCAUGAGCAUUUAGUUAACCUUAUGUACACUUAGGCCAUGUCUGGAUCUAAUUUUGAUAAAAGAAAUCGGAUAAAAAUCAUUAUGAGAAAUAAACACCCAGAUUAUUAUAAUCCCACUAUCUACCUUCACCCUAAUUUUGAGGUAAUAGACACAACCAACCCUCCAACCAUCUUAAAAUCUAGGGACCCAGACAACCCAGUUAUAAUGUAUAAUCUAGAUUCUUUCUUACAGUCUGACAAGACCCAAACAUGGCCUUUAGUAUUAUGAAUGGAAGGCAUAAAUUAUCAUUGGCAAAAAAAAAUCCCAAAUGUACAAAAGUUUACAUAAGGAAUGAUCUCAUACCUUUUCUCUUGAAGGAAUUCUCUAAGUACUUUUAUGAGCCGACUCUCAUCCAAUGUUUCUUCAUUAUUUUUUUUGCCAAGAUCACAGAGCAAGCCCUUGAAUAAUUUCUUCAAGUUAGGAGUUUGAGACACUGAAACAAAAGCACAGCAAUCGAAUCGUGCUCUAAUCUUUUCAUAAACUGCUUUUGCAAGAGUUGUCUUUCCCAAUCCCCCAAAUCCAACAAUGGAAACUAUCUUUCCAUGCUGCUGCAUGGACACUUCAUUCUCUUCUUCUAGAAUCUUAAUUAGCUCAUCUCUUGCCUCAUCAAUUCCAACAAGCUCUUUCGCCUCCGUGUACUGACUGAAUAAACGUGGAUCGAUCAUGACAGGCAUAGCAACAUCACUGUUGAUCUUGUACCUUCCAUGCCGCUUGGCUACCUCUUCGACACGGGUCUUGAUGUCUCUGAUCUCAGUGGCCAUCCCAUGGCGAAUCUUGGCCUUUCUAAACAAACCAACACUUCUAUCAAUGAACUUCUUGAUGCCAUGCAGAUUGCCCUGCUCUUUACCCUGCCCACGGACCAUGAAUGUGUCAAUACCGUCCUCUAUAUCAUAGGACAGCUCCCUCAAAUCCCUAGCCCAGAUCUUGUCUUGAAUGUCAAGCCGGUCGGCCGGUGUGCUAGAGACCUUCUCAAGGGCACCCUUCAUACUCUCGAGCUCCGAUUGGAGAAACCUGAUCUCCCCUUCAGCCCCUUCUGCAGAUUGUACUCGCCAAUGAGAAGUUCACCUAGCUUGGUGAUAACGCUUGGCAGUGCACCUGUCACCACCUCCAUGCAAGGAUUUGUCCCUGGGCGAAUACAAGGAGCUAGUAGGUUAUUGUUUCUCUUUUCCGUCGUGUUGCACUUGCACAAGGCGCGCCUGAAUAAUAAAGGAUGAGAGGGUACAAGAUAUGGGACUCACUAGGUUCUUCUUGAUGGGAAUCAAGAGCUGCCACAGCCAGGCAGGAACUUGGAUGGAGUCGCUGCUGGUCGUCCCCAGAUCGUGCUUUUGCGACGCUAUGCAACUUCCACGGCCGCCUUGACUCGAACUUGCUGCCACCAACCAACUCAGGUGCUCGCAGCUGCCAUAUAAUACAACGCUAUGCCAGUGGAAUUAACGGCAAUAAUAGAUGAGAGAUGGAAUGAGAUCGGAUCAAAUAAAGGGAAACUGGAUAGGAGGGAAGUGUGGAAAAGACCCAAGAAAUAUUGGGGCUCAAAUCAAAAAUUAAUUUUUGCCCGGUGGGUUGGAAUUUUGCUUGCAAAGUCAAGCACUUCAGGGAUAUAAAAGGAUAAAAUAAACCUUGUGCGUUUUCUGCUGGCACUGCCUUUUCCUUUGUUGGCACUGCCUUUUUCUUUGUUGCCCAUAAUUAAUUAUCAUCUAUUUUUUCUGCUGGCACUGCCUUUUCCUUUGUUGUUUUAAUUACGCAUAAUGCCUUUUGCUUUCGUCCUUGCACCAACUAAAGGAAUCUUCUUUUUCUCAAAGCAAUACAGGUGGCUGCUUGUUUAACUACAAGAGUGGGACCUGCUAAGAAGAAUUCGAUCAAGCACGCAACGCAUGGGUCAUCUGUGCUUUCCGUCUUGCCACUGUAGCAAAACAUGACGUCGCUGCAGGGAUAAAAGAAAUUAAAUGUAAUGAAGUGCAAUUUGCAGCGAAUUUCUUCACCGUGAGAUAGACUUUAGCAAUGCCUAUGUAUUUAUAGAACAUAUCUCAUUUGCUUAAAGCAUUUGCACUAACAAGACGAAUCUUCUUCCUUUUCCUUAUACCAAAGUGAAGUAGACAGGCCAUGGUGGAAGAUGGCAUCUUCUUGCCCUUAUGAUCAACCUUUCCCUUUACAAAUAUCCUCACUUAUCAUUUUAGUGGGGUGCAGUACACUAGGACAUAGACAAGCGGAGCAUGAAAGUGUGGGCAUUCUAGGAGGUAGUGGUAUGCAUGCACUGAAGUCUGACGUCUGAAUCCGGCCGGGUAGCAAUGGCAGGAAAAACCUCACUAGUUCUUCCAUAUGCAACGGAAUCAGCGAUUGUACUGCACCAAUCUGUCUCUGCCUUCCAAUGUACACCCCUUGGUAUUGUGCCGAGCUCUGUUCUGAAACCUGAAGGCCGGCCGUUUCUUACCAUGUACAACAUUACCACAUUCGAAAGGCAGACAAGGAACAGAAGACAGAACCACUUGAUGGCGUCCUCAGCGAGCCGCUGACCUGGGUCUCCAUGGCGUCGUCGUCAGGUUUGGGUGCCCGUACCUCGACGUGUGGAAUCAAUGAACACAGAUGAACCUCGCCGUCGUGCGGCUCCGGCAGCCGGCGGGGAGAAUGGCCUCCUGCAGCUCGGACAUGGUCUUGCAGAAGCAGAGGUCCUGCUACAGUGCGACGAGCAGGUGCCUGCAGCGAAGAGUGGAGUGCGCGCGCUCAAACAUGUGCCUGCUAAGUACAUGGGGUUUUCCCGCGAGAGUUCGAAUCUCUCAGGCGUCGCAAUGUUUUCCUUUUUAUUCAUAGUAGAAUACAGAGAGAUUCCUUUUUAUUAGGCAAAGCACAUCUGAUCAUUUUCCAGACUAAUAUAUCCCAUAUGUCGUCAAUAACAAUGAAAUACCUAUAUAUAUGACAAGUUAGUAGCAAGAACAAAUGGUUUUAAGAUGGAAAAAGUUAUCAUAAUGUACAUAUACCACGGUAUGCAAAUUGAGCUAACUGGAAAACAACUAACGUUUUAGUGACUAGAGUAAAAUAGCUAGGGAGCAGCUAGAUUAGCAUGUAUCCUUGAAGGAACCAGCACCAAUAAUGAAUCCCUGAAGGAUGCCCAGAUUCUUAUUGUCCACCUCUACAUUUACAUAGCGGAGAGCUGGCAACCUCCUAAGGAUUUCGAGGUCGCCCUGAUGCAGCUCCCUCACGGUGAUGGUUAGUCAGGUGAGAUCCGGAACAAGCGAUGGAUUCACCCAAGCUGGCAGUGUUGAAAACCAACA
rnacentral:lncRNA from 1 species